AUUGAACGCUGGCGGCAGGCUCAACACAUGCAAGUCGAGCGGAGAGAGGUAGCUUGCUACUGAUCUUAGCGGCGGACGGGUGAGUAAUGCUUAGGAAUCUGCCUAUUAGUGGGGGACAACAUUUCGAAAGGAAUGCUAAUACCGCAUACGUCCUACGGGAGAAAGCAGGGGAUCUUCGGACCUUGCGCUAAUAGAUGAGCCUAAGUCGGAUUAGCUAGUUGGUGGGGUAAAGGCCUACCAAGGCGACGAUCUGUAGCGGGUCUGAGAGGAUGAUCCGCCACACUGGGACGGAGACACGGACCAGACUCCUACGGGAGGCAGCAGUGGGGAAUAUUGGACAAUGGGCGGAAGCCUGAUCCAGCCAUGCCGCGUGUGUGAAGAAGGCCUUAUGGUUGUAAAGCACUUUAAGCGAGGAGGAGGCUACUUUAGUUAACACCUAGAGAUAGUGGACGUUACUCGCAGAAUAAGCACCGGCUAACUCUGUGCCAGCCGCCGCCGUAACAC
rnacentral:rRNA from 1 species